AACCCAUGGUGAGGGCACCGUCUCAAUAAGUCCUUAUACCUCUCUCAUGCAUCAUAUAACAUUUCUAAAUCGAUCUGCACGAAGGAAGAGAUAUCAUUCCUCAACUU
rfam:Gossypium raimondii chromosome 13, whole genome shotgun sequence.